rnacentral:lncRNA from 1 species
GUCCACCUGCCGCAGGGUGGGGCUGCUAGGGCCCCGCCGCGCGUGGGGGUCGCGGGGCUGCCCGGCGCGUGGAGGUCGGGCCACGUGCCGCUCCUGCGCGCCUGGGUGCGCAUCCCCAGCAGGGGCGCCGCUUUGCAUGUGAUUCCCCCCCCCCCCGCACCGAGUCCUCCCACGGGGCUCUGCACUGUCUACGCAGCCAGGUGCGCUCCGCAGGGACCCGGAGCUCUUGUCCCCAGGGACUCGAAGAAGGCAGCUCGGAAUCCCUUUCCCGGAGCGCCACCUACAGGCUGUCCAGAGAGACUCGGGCUACCCCCGCCCCCACUUCCGUUGGCUUCUAGGGGGUUGGCCCUGGCGGGUCCGCUGAGCCCCAACCCAGCUGCGCACUAAUGGAAACCAGAGGAAGGGCUGCGCAACGCACCCCGGGGGUGGGGCGGGGGGAAUGAGGACAAAAGGACACUCCGACCCAGUCCUGAUGGAGGCAGAGCCCAGAUUUCUUGGGCUAUUUUGAAAUGUUUUAAUGGCUUAAAUAUACGUAUAUAACAAGCUUGUUUGCCACUUAUAACAACUAAAGCUAGAAGAGGUACGCAGCCCCUGCUGUGAGGUCACCGUUUGGGGCCCGUAAGCCGGCACUUGCAGACUGCCCAUGGACAGCAUCACUUACGCUGUCGCGCCGGGGUGCGCUUCAUGGCCCCCUUUUCUAACGUCCUGGAGCCUGCACGGGGAUUCGCAGCAAGCCCAGGCGCUGCUGCUAAACUUCUAGAAAGAGGACGACAGAAUGAACUGGCGGCCUGCACACCCCCCAGUGGACUUAGACUCUCCGAAGGCAGGGCCGCUUCCGGGAUUCGGAGAAGCCUGUGCGUGCUCACCUCCUGUCCCAGAAAUCCUAGGUGUCUUCUUCUAGUGGCGAGAGCCAAGCACCUGACGCCUUCACCUGCUGCUGCUGCUUCCUUUCCUUCUUUGCUGGCGGUUUGCGGAAUGACGCGGAGGGGAAGUGGUUGUUAACUCCGGAAUGACCCGGAGAAAGUCUCAGAUGCGCACUGAGGGCACGAAGGAGGGACAGCCGUCAAACUCACCCGAGGUCGCGCCUUCCCGGAGGCAUGCAGGUGGCCGCCACGCCCGUGUUAGCAAGUAGCCACGGAUAAAAUUCUUCCACUUCCCUUUUGCGAAAACACCUGCUUCCCAGAAGUAAGUUACAGCAAUAAAUUGUGAAGAUUGUUUCCGCUGUUUACA